CUGCCCUUGAGAUGACCACAACGUUGGUUUUCAAUAGAUGCUUUCAUGCGAGGCAGGAGCUGUGUGUACCAGAAGGCUGUUUGUCUCAAGGAGCACUUAAAAACACGUCUGCCUAAGAACAGAGUUUGUUCUUUUGCUGGAAGAGCUCUCCACCUGAGAAGCAGCAAGAGUUUAAGUUUUGUGGUACUUUUUAAUUUGUUUUUGAACUAUAUUCUUCAUGUUCAGUCACUUGGUUUUACCAAGUAACGUUGUUAACUGGAGGUAUGUCAAGAUAGCUAAUGCACAACUCAUUCUUUCCAUCACGCUUUUAUCAACAGAUUUAAAUAUUAAGCAACUAAUAGGAACCAGCUAGGUUCAGAUAAGAGUACAGCAGUUUUGAGAUGGUAAUACCAUUUGGAGAUUUUUCCAUUAAGCACCACUGUGCUAACAUGUAUUACAUAAUCUGAAUAUCAGGAGACAUUUAGAGAGCAUACAGUAAUCAAAGCAAUUGUGAAACUUGCUCUUAACGGUCACUCUUCCCAAGACUUUUUCCAAAGCACACCUGAUCCGGCACUAGGUAGCCAGGACCAAGAUAUGAUGCUUAGUGAAGAAGAACAACUCCACCCUUCUGGAAAAAGCUGGAAGCUACUGAAAAGCCAAGGCUGGAGAUCUGCCAGCCUCUCACCAAGUCUCAGUUCUCAAAGCUCUCCUCAAAGAUAUUUGAAGACCUGAACUGACAAGCAAUGUGCUUUGGCAAUGAUACUGAAGGCAACUCCCAGGUCCAUUCCAAAAGGAAAAUCAGCAUUUGCACUACAGACUAAGUAGGAACUGUAGUACUGUCCAGCUAAGUUUGACAGCAUCACCUGAUCACGACCUGUCCUUUCAGACAAGAUUUAUUAAACACCAUAAAUUAAUUAAAUGAUGGACAUCACUGAGAACAUAAAGCAUUGUUUGUCCCCCAGGCAAUGCCUUACACAAAAGCUUAAAGAACAGUAAAGCAAAAGCAAAGUACAGCACAGAGCAGCUUGUGGCUAGAGUUCAGAAACUUGAGUGCUAAUAAAGCUGGCUCACAAAAACUUGCCCAUUGUACAAUUAAUGAAUAUACCCAUGUUAUGGUAUAGCAGUGUACAAUUAACAAAUAUACAGAUGUUAAGACAUAACAGAGAGCUUGGCUAUGAUGUUAUUACACCAAAACAGGGAACAGAAAUGA